UACGUAGGGUGCAAGCGUUGUCCGGAAUUAUUGGGCGUAAAGAGCUCGUAGGUGGCCUGUCGCGUCGGCUGUGAAACUCGGGGCUCAACUCCGAGCUUGCAGUCGAUACGGGCAGGCUAGAGUUCGGCAGGGGAGACUGGAAUUCCUGGUGUAGCGGUGGAAUGCGCAGAUAUCAGGAGGAACACCGAUGGCGAAGGCAGGUCUCUGGGCCAUUACUGACACUGAGAAGCGAAAGCAUGGGGAGCGAACAGG
rnacentral:rRNA from 1 species